GGGUUUCUCUCCUGUGUGGACCAGCAGGUGUCGCUUGAGUCUACUGGCGAAGGGGAACUCUUUCUUGCAGUAACAACAACGAUGCUGCGGCGUCUGAACUCCAUGAAGAUGAAUGUGCAAGAACAGGUGCUGGUGGUAACACUACGUAUUCAAGGAAAGAAAUGCAAAGAAAUUAUAGAGGUUUAAAAGAAAAUUCCAUAAGCCAGGUCCUACAGACAAGACAAUACGCGAAUUGUUGAAUAAAUUCAAAAGAACGGGAUCUGUUAACGAUGAACCAAGACCUGGACGUCUGCAUGUCUCAGAAGAUGCUGUAAAUGCAGUAAGAAAUGCUAUCACAGGAGAACCACGCAUGUCAAUUCGUGCCGCAUUAAGUCUUUCAGCAAGAUGGUGCACCUUGUCACUACGCAAACAUUGUUUGGGAGUACCGGUACCUAAAUGAACGAUUUCCAGAUCAGUGGAUUGGACGUGGAAGCAACAGGCCCUGGGUGGCUAAAUCGCCAGAUUUAGCCAUUACAAUGUGCAGAUCUGCAGGACUUACGGACACACAUUGUAACGGCAUUUAACAAAAUAACCCAUGAAAUGCUCCAGGAUGUGUUCAGAAAUGCUGCGGAAAGAUUUGAGCUCUGUAGAGAUAUUGAUGGUGCACACAUAUAGAACCUUAUUCUUAAGUAUUCAAUAAAUGUAUACCUUCUAUCGUUUUAAAUUUGAAUUUAACACAGCUAUCCGUUAUAUCACUGAAAUAGAUAGGGACUUUAUAAACACCCUGUAUAUGAAGUUCUCAACUGGCAACCAAAUUUGUACUGUUUACAGACAGACAGCAUCAAUGGUGUGUCAUCCAACCUUCCAGGCGGGAGGUAAAAAGGGAAAGAUAUAUGGCGAAAUGAAAAUAAAAAUGACUUUGCAUAAUGUGUCUUAGGUCAAACAAGGUCCAUCUAAUGUGUUUUUGUAAUUAUGGUCAAGUGCCUUGCCCCUGCAGUCAAGUCCAAGCAGGAGCAGGUAUCAAUAACUAACCUUAGAUCUUGUAUAGUUUUAUAAUGUAUUAAUAUCCCGAGUUUGGUUGUAACCCAUUUUCAUUACUCGGAGUUAUCAUAUAUACACAUACACAUAAAAAAAUUAUAAUUAACACAAUAGUGUGUCCUGGUCACAUGAUAUGAAAACAGUUUGGAGAAUUCAGGAAACAUUGAGGAUCAGUCCUGAAAUUAUUUCAGUAGAGUUUGAUGGAAAUAUAUUAAGAUAAGGGAACUAAAACACAGACAUGGUGAUGUUAUAAACAAACUUUAUUUUAAUUUGUAGUUUAUUUCUCUAUAGUUUCAAUGUUCAACACAUUUUACAGAAAACCCAACAAAAUAAUUAUAUUUGGUAACUAAUUUCUUUGCAAGCUUGUCACCAAUGUCCAUUUGGAACAGUGGGCACAGCACAUUGUAGACUAAUCCUUUUUUUUUUUUUUUGGUACGAAAGGGAGCAACGUCACUGGCACUGCACUUGACUGCCUACAAUUCCCCAUCUGUAAAUGUAGGUAUCUAGUUUCAGCUAGGUGAACUGAGGGUACCCUUGGCACAAACCAGUGACCCUUAGGACUGGAGGUAAACAAUGUAUCCACUCAGCUACGACUCCCGUUACUUGUAACUUAUACUGAAACCUUUUAAAUCUAAUUUACUAACAGCCUACAUCAUUGAGAUCUCAAGUACAGUAUAGCUAUUUAUCUUUUUUAUUUACCAGCAUAUAUCCUUCCUCACAGUUGGUCCUUUCUAACAGUAGUGUACAGUAUCUGAUAUUACAGGUGUUGGCAAAUAUUUCACUUUACAUCUACAACUGUGAAGUGACUGUACUACACGGACUUGAGCAGAAAACAAAGUGAAGAUACUACAGUAUUUAAAUAAAGAUUCAAGACAGAUAUAAGUAAUUUUAAGUACUGUACAAUAACAUAACAAAUUUCAAACAAUAAAAAGUUUUUAAAAUGAUUACAUUUUGUCAUGAUUCUAAAAAUAAAGAUAAAACUAAC
rnacentral:lncRNA from 1 species